rnacentral:rRNA from 1 species
UACAUAGGGUGCAAGCGUUGUCCGGAAUUAUUGGGCGUAAAGAGCUCGUAGGUUGUUUGUUACGUCGGAUGUGAAAACCUGAGGCUCAACCUCAGGCCUGCAUUCGAUACGGGCAAACUAGAGUUUGGUAGGGGAGACUGGAAUUCCUGGUGUAGCGGUGGAAUGCGCAGAUAUCAGGAGGAACACCAAUGGCGAAGGCAGGUCUCUGGGCCAAUACUGACACUGAGGAGCGAAAGCGUGGGGGAGCGAACAGG